UGGUGCCAGCAGCCGCGGUAAUUCCAGCUCCAAUAGCGUAUAUUAAAGUUGUUGCAGUUAAAAAGCUCGUAGUUGAAUUUCGGGAUUAGUGCGCCGGUCGUGCCUUCGGUAUGUACUGGUGUUACUGGUUCCUACCUUCUGACGAACCGUCAUGUCAUUAAUUUGGUGUGGCGGGGAAUCAGGACUGUUACUUUGAAAAAAUUAGAGUGUUUAAAGCAGGCUCGCGCUUGAAUACAUUAGCAUGGAAUAAUGAAAUAGGACGUUCGAUCCUAUUUUGUUGGUUUCUAGGAUUGACGUAAUGAUUAAUAGGGAUAGUUGGGGGCAUUAGUAUUCAAUUGUCAGAGGUGAAAUUCUUGGAUUUAUUGAAGACUAACUACUGCGAAAGCAUUUGCCAAGGAUGUUUUCAUUAAUCAAGAACGAAAGUUAGGGGAUCGAAGACGAUCAGAUACCGUCGUAGUCUUAACCAUAAACUAUGCCGACUAGGGA
rnacentral:rRNA from 2 species